AUGCGAGCUGUUGAGUUUUUUGGAUGCUUACUCAGGCUACCAUCAGAUCAAGUUGGAUCCAACCGACCGCUGAAGACCGCCUUCAUCACACCAUUCAGAGCUUUCUGCUACCUGACUAUGACAUUCGGCUUGAGAAAUGCUGGUGCCACUUUUCAGCGUUGCAUGCAGAAAUGCCUCCUCAAGCAACUCGGCAGAAAUGCCCACGUCUAUGUAGACGAUAUUGUGGUGAAGAUGGAGAAGCGCGGCACCCUGCUGGAAGACCUCAGAGAAACAUUCGACAACCUGCGCCGGUUUCAGAUCAAGCUCAACCCUAAGAAAUGCGUGUUCGGAGUACCAGCCGGCCAGCUUCUAGGCUUCUUGGUCUCCGAACGCGGCAUCGAGUGCAACCUAGUGAAGAUCAAGGCCAUAGAGAGAAUGCAGAUUCCUACCAAGCUGCGAGACGUCCAAAAGUUUACCGGGUGCCUAGCCUCUCUGAACCGCUUCAUCAGCCGGCUAGGAGAAAAGGCUCUCCCCCUGUACCGACUCAUGAAAAAGUCCACCCACUUCGAGUGGAACGACCAAGUAGACCAAGCU
rnacentral:rRNA from 1 species